ACUGGAAAUGUAUUCGAGGUUUGAAGCUGGCUCUUUCGGGAGUAUUGUGCUCGCCUUGAUUCCAAUCCAUUUCACACCUGUGCACAUAUUGUAGUUUUGGGUUCAGGGGGAUGGUCAUACAUCCUUUUUGUUCCUGACUCUACGUAUUUUUUACAUAUACUCUAUUAUAUGUUUAGAAUGUUAUUAAUUGCAAUAAAACGCAUUUAAAAACAACUUUCAACAACGGAUCUCUUGGCUCUCGCAUCGAUGAAGAACGCAGCGAAAUGCGAUAAGUAAUGUGAAUUGCAGAAUUCAGUGAAUCAUCGAAUCUUUGAACGCACCUUGCGCUCCUUGGUAUUCCGAGGAGCAUGCCUGUUUGAGUGUCAUGAAUCUCUCAAACUCAAAAGUUUUGUUAAUCAACACUUUUUGCAGUUUGGACUUGGAGGUCUUUGCUGGCGAUAAGUCAGCUCCUCUUAAAAUUAUUAGCUUGGGUCUUUGUAUGUUGGAUCCUUGGUGUGAUAAUUAUCUACGCCAUGAUGUCCCUUCAAACCCUGCUUAUAGUCGUCUUGUAAUAAAGACAAUACUCAUUUGACAUCUGACCUCAAAUCAGGUAGGACUACCCGCUGAACUUAAGCAU
rnacentral:rRNA from 1 species